UCACACCGCCCGUCGCUACUACCGAUUGGGUGUACCAGUGAGAGCCUUGGACUGGCGUCCGUUGUUGCUCGCAAGAGUGACAAGCGGGUCCGACGGAAAGAGGUCCGAACUGGUGCACUUAGAGGAAGUAAAAGUCGUAACAAGGUUUCCGUAGGUGAACCUGCGGAAGGAUCAUUAAAAG
rnacentral:rRNA from 1 species